rnacentral:lncRNA from 1 species
AAAGAACACGUAGAAGCCGUAAGCGUCAACUGGCAUGAGUAACGCGUGCGUAAAAUAACGCGACAGGACAGGAGGAGUUGCUGGAACAUACGUCGUUGUUGUUGGCUCUUUAUUUCUCCCACGUGAGUAAAUUGUGUUUGGGUUGUGUGGGCCAAAGCUUUUCUAGAUUUCGGCUUUGUCUUUGGACUCUCAACACUCGUAACCAGCCGUCACUAGAAUAACUGGUGCCAGUUGCGUUAACUACUAGUACAAGAGGUUUCGUUUUUUCAACUAACCUUAGAUUUUGUUUUUUUAUUAUUAUUUAUCUCAUGUCGGCAUUUUGUUUUGGGCCAGGUAAGUAGUGUGUGUUUCCGGCUGUGACUGCUGAGCUCAUAGUACAACCACACCAUUCCAAUCCAAGUAUCACUUUCGUUUGUGAACACUUCAUUCUCC